rnacentral:rRNA from 1 species
GACGUAGGUGGCGAGUGUUGUUCGGAAUCAUUGGGUAUAAAGUGCGCGUAGGUGGCUAAGUAAGUUGGGUGUGAAAUACCUCGGUUCAACUGAGGAACUGCGCCCGAUACUGCUUGGUUUGAGGGUGCGAGGGGAGAGUGGAAUUCCCGGUGGAGCGGUGAAAUGCGUAGAGAUCGGGAAGAACGCCGGCGGCGAAAGCGAUUCUCUGGUGCACUCCUGACGCUGAGGCGCGAAAGCUAGGGGAGCAAACGGG